rnacentral:tRNA from 1 species
UGGGGAAUGGUGUAACGGUAGCACGGAGCGCUCUGGACGCUUUAGUCUAGGUUCGAAUCCUAGUUCCCCAG